rnacentral:rRNA from 1 species
AUUGAACGCUGGCGGGAUGCUUUACACAUGCAAGUCGAACGGCAGCGCGGACUUCGGUCUGGCGGCGAGUGGCGAACGGGUGAGUAAUGUAUCGGAACGUGCCCAGUAGCGGGGGAUAACUACGCGAAAGCGUAGCUAAUACCGCAUACGCCCUACGGGGGAAAGCAGGGGAUCGUAAGACCUUGCACUAUUGGAGCGGCCGAUAUCGGAUUAGCUAGUUGGUGAGGUAACGGCUCACCAAGGCGACGAUCCGUAGCUGGUUUGAGAGGACGACCAGCCACACUGGGACUGAGACACGGCCCAGACUCCUACGGGAGGCAGCAGUGGGGAAUUUUGGACAAAGGGGGCAACCCUGAUCCAGCCAUCCCGCGUGUGCGAUGAAGGCCUUCGGGUUGUAAAGCACUUUUGGCAGGAAAGAAACGUCGCGGGCUAAUACCCCGUGGAACUGACGGUACCUGCAGAAUAAGCACCGGCUAACUACGUG